rnacentral:misc_RNA from 1 species
AAUCGGUGCCAAAGAAGAGCACUGCGGUGAAGAGAACAAAGUAGAGACCAGUCAGCAUCUCUGAGAAUUUUAAAAAUCUCAGCUAGUGAUGAAGAAAUACAGUUCGGUCAAGUUCUAUUAAGAAUGAUCUACUGCUCUUAAUUUUAAUAUGACAACUACUUGAAUCUUUUUACUAUUGAAAUGCUUAGGAAUUUUAGUCAUAGUAAACAGAUGAUCAACUGCACUUCUUGAUUCCUAUCCAAAUCUUUUGACUGUUUUCAGAAUGAACCCAACAUCUUAGGCUUUGAGUUUCAGGCAUGUAUACGAUUUUUUGGUUUAAGCCCUUGAAUGAAACAACUUCAUUAUUGGAUUACCUGUAGUAGUCUGGAUUUGGUACG